rnacentral:rRNA from 1 species
UACAGAGGUGGCAAGCGUUGUUCGGAAUUACUGGGCGUAAAGGGCGAGUAGGUGGCCAUCUAAGUCAGACGUGAAAUCCCUCGGCUUAACCGGGGAACUGCGUCUGAUACUGGAUGGCUAGAGGUUGGGAGAGGGAUGCGGAAUUCCAGGUGUAGCGGUGAAAUGCGUAGAUAUCAGGAGGAACACCAAUAGCGAAGGCAGCUCGCUGGGACGGUACUGACGCUAAGGCGCGAAAGCGUGGGGAGCGAACAGG